UUAAAAAAAAAAAAAAAGAAAGACAGGACAAGAACAAAAACAAAAAAACAAAAAGAGUUGGCCAUUAGAUGAAAGCGAAAUAUAAGAGAAACUGACUAAAAAUGUGGUUUGAAAUGUUUCUAUCAAGGCUUCUAUACUUCCUCGGAGGAGCAGAAACCUUUGCCUUUCCUACUUUAAGUGUCUGAUGAACUUCUUCAAAACUCUCUUUGGAUCGGCCCUCUCCUCCUUCCCUCUUUUCCUACAUAUACCUCUUUUCACUAAUUCCAAACUCCUUCUCUCUUUCUUUCAGACACAUCCCAUAAAGAUAGAGACUCUUGACUUGUAGCUAGCUGAACAAAACCCCCAUUUGCUAAAAACCGAUCUCUUUUAUGGCUUCACUACUUGUCCCAUUGUCCAACAUCUCUCUACAAGUAAAGUUUGACACAAAAGUUUGACUAAGCAUAGCAUUUCUACUUGUUCUUUUAUCUUUUCUUGGGUCUUUGUUUGUUACAUGCUUAUCCAUAUAUCUAUAUGUAAUUUUCUUUUCUUUUUAUUUGGCUGUUAUUUAUUAUCCAACGCAGAGAAACUAUAAGGAGACAGAGCUGAAAGCAGGUUAAGAAAGGUCCAUUUUAAGUCUCUAGAGCCUAAGAGGGAUAAAAAAAGUAUAGUAUUCUUGGAAUAUCUUUGUCGUGCAAUGAUUUCGUCGCGCCCAUACAAAAAAAAAAAAAAAUAAAACCCUAACCCUAGUUUUGACAACACUCGGAUGCUUCUCUCCCAUAAGCCUUUGUCUUUUCGGAAGCAUCGCACGUGACUUGAAUAUUCACGUGCGGUGUAGAAGGAAACGUCUAGUCCAUGUUUUUACAUAUAUUUAAAGUAGAAGAAGAACAACAACAACAAGAAGGGUAAUACUAAAAAGUAGGCGACGGGGCAUUUCUAAAGUGGAUACGGAUCAUCAGGUAAAGAUGCUUUAAAGCAAUUGAUGUUUUCGUGUUGCUUAACAGCCGUAUUGGACCACGAAACUCAGCUUCUUUUUGUUUAUUUUUCAUUUUUUUUUACAUAAGAAAGAAUUAAAAAGAGAAAGAAAAGGAAAAGAGAGAGAUGGGUUUUCAUAAAAAAGACUUGUGUGCUUUGUUUAGUCUUUGAACGCACCUUUAAUUGUUGACAUUUCUUGAUGCUUCUUUAUGUAGAGCACUUUAUUGACGACGUACAAAACACUCAUUUAAUUAUCAAUAUUAAUAAUAUAAAGGUAUGCAAUAUUUAGAUAUACGAAAUAGGCCUGAGACUGAGGCAAAUAGAUUGGAAUUUCCAGAUUUUUAUAACUAAUUUUUUUUAGACUUUGUCUGGUUAAUUGCAGGCAGCCCAUGCACAUAUAGCCCUUAAACAAACUGGCAAAAAAAUUCCAAGUAGAAAGAAGAUGUAUAUAUAUUAUCGAGGCUGCAUUUGCCUGAACGACAAACCGUUUCAUGUUAUAAAUUACUAGUUUAAAUUACAUCCCAAGAGCUGCACCUGCUUCAGUGUGCUAUGGAAAUAGAAGAUGAAUUUGGGUUGCACAUGUUUUGGUUGCAGGGAGAUGAAAUAUAUGUGGACAACAUUUGUCCCCCUAGAUUUUCAUCUAGUAAUUCAGGUGAAAAAUGGACCUUUCUUAGGACAGAAAUAAAAAAUAUUCAUAAUUGAUUAUAAUUUGAUACAUCCAAAGGACAUAAUUAAGAAGCAAUGACCUAUGUCUUGUCUUAUAGCAUAGCCAUGUGGUAAUCUCUCCACUCCAUUGAAUAGAAUGAGAUUUGUCCUCUCUUUUUUUUUCUUUUAAAUUUAAUAAAGAUUUUCGAAUUAAUUUACGCUAAUUAAAAAAAAAAACAUGAGUUUUUUUUUUAAAAGGUAGUUAUUG
rnacentral:misc_RNA from 1 species